rnacentral:ncRNA from 1 species
CCUGAAUACUUGAAAAAUGUAGUAAAGUUUAGCUCUAUAUCCACCCAUCACAGAUAGCCACCGUCCAACACUGUGAAUCAACCACCCAUAUCUCACUUAAUAAUCCAACAAAAUCCAACAAAGGUAACGUUUUUUUUCACUUCCCGGUGAGGCAGGGGGGCAAGCCCCGAGGGAUGAGCAGUGUGUGGGGAGUUUAAUCGGGUCGGUACACCUGUCAAAGCUAACACAGUUGUCCUGCGGUGAGCUCAGAGAGGAUGGAAACUUCCUGCACAGCAGAAGGGCAAAAGCUCACUUGAUCUUGAUUUUCAGUACAAAUACAGACCAUGAAAGUGGGGCCUCAUGAUCCUUCUGGCUUUUUUAGUUUUAAGCAAUAAGCAUCAGAAAACUUACCACAGGUGUAACUGGUAUGUGGCGGCCAAGCAUUCAUAGCAACGUCACGUUUUGAUCCUUUGAUGUCGGCUCUUCCUAUCAUUGUGAAGCAGAAUUCACCAAGCGUGGGCUUGUCCACCCAGUAAUAGGGAACUUGAGCUAGGUUUAAACUGUCGUGAGACAGGUUAGUUUUACCCUGCUGAAGAUGUGUUGUUGCAAUAGUAAUCCUGCUCAGUACGAGAGGAACCACAGGUUCAGACCCUUGGUGCGUGCACUUGGCUGAGGAGUCACUGGCACGAGGCUACCAUCUGCAGUCUUAUGACUGAGUGCCUCUAAAUCAGAAUCCCGCCUAGACGUAGCGAUACCGCAGUGCCACUGGUGCCUCGGUGGGCUUGGGUAGCUGGUCGCCCACCUCAUACGUGGGACAGGCCCAGUGCGGAGUGCUGCUUGUGGUCAGAACCAGAGGGAUAGACAGAUGCGGCAGUGCCUCUUCCCUGUCGCAUGCUGUAUGAUCAUGGGGCACCUGGUGCUAAAUCGUUAAUAGAGGACCUGAUUCUGGGUCAGGGUUUCAUAAACAUCAGAGCAACUCUCUCGCUGAGAUCUAGCGAGAAUCAGUCCUCAACACAAGCUUC